AGAUUCUCCCCAGACGCCAAGGAUGCGGGUCAUGGCGUCCCGAACCCUCCUCCUGCUGCUCUCGGGAGCCGUGGUCCUGAUCCAGACCUGGGCAGGACCCUGACAGUCCCACAGAAGAAGUGACAAGAAUUUAUUUAUGACAUGGCAAUAACACAUGUAUUCAUGGUGUUAAUUCCAUUUGUUUCAUAGAGACAGGGUCUUGCUAUGUUGCCCAGGCUGGUCUUCAACUCCUGGCCUCAAGCAAUCCCCCGACUUGGCCUUCCAAAGUGCUAGCAUUACAAGUGUAAGCCAUUGUGUCCAGCCCUUAACUUGAAAAUCUGACUUAGUAUAAUAAAAGAAAAAAAUAGAAGUAUUCUGGAAAUGGAACAGGAAAGAAGGCUAAGGUGGAAACCAUCAAUCUGUGUCAUCUGAGAAGCCCCACGUGCAGAGGCUAUCCCGGGUCUUUAGGGGACAACAAAAACAAAGCACACAGGAUCCUGGUGUCAGGGACAGAGCAUGGCCACGGCGGGAUGAUAGCGGCUCUCCUACGAAAUAGUGCUCAUAAACAUCCCCUCUGAGAAGGAUCAGAUCAACAUA
rnacentral:sRNA from 1 species